rnacentral:rRNA from 1 species
CCUACGGGUGGCAGCAGUGAGGAAUAUUGGUCAAUGGACGAGAGUCUGAACCAGCCAAGUAGCGUGAAGGAUGACUGCCCUAUGGGUUGUAAACUUCUUUUAUAUGGGAAUAAAAUGUUCCACGUGUGGGAUUUUGUAUGUACCAUAUGAAUAAGGAUCGGCUAACUCCGUGCCAGCAGCCGCGGUAAUACAGAGGAUCCGAGCGUUAUCCGGAUUUAUUGGGUUUAAAGGGAGCGUAGGGGGGUUGUUAAGUCAGUUGUGAAAGUUUGCGGCUCAACCGUAAAAUUGCAGUUGAAACUGGCAGUCUUGAGUACAGUAGAGGUGGGCGGAAUUCGUGGUGUAGCGGUGAAAUGCUUAGAUAUCACGAAGAACUCCGAUUGCGAAGGCAGUUCACUGGACUGCAACUGACACUGAGGCUCGAAAGUGUGGGUAUCAAACAGGAUUAGAUACCCGAGUAGUC